AUCUCUCUGGUUGAGGCUGCAUUCAUUAUUCAUAUUCAACUUGACACGUGGGAAGGGCUUACUCUACUAGUGGCUCGGCUUGGUCUCGCUCCCUUCCCGCACUAUUCCUCCCCACUAAAAAGAGCGAUUGAGAAUCUCGAGAACCUUUCCGAACGUCUGUCUUCGCGGUGCGAUUGGAAAAGAAAGGAGUAUUUAAUUCUUUUACUGUUUUCCAUUCCACUAUUCUGAUCGAAUUGAUUGCUCUUCCGAACGACCAAGUCAUAAUGAGUUUAAAAACCGAUGCUUCCUUAGCUGUGUGGAACAUGGAUUAGCAUUAUGUCAAUCCUACAAGUGAUGACCCACCCAGGAUUGCUAUGUACAGACUUAGAGAUCAAAUAGGAUAUGUUUCUUUCCAUUCCUCGUGAGCCACUUAUUUCUCCGAAACAAGAGAUUAAAGUCAUCUUCCUCCUUUUUCCAAGGAAGUCGACGACGUUGCACCAUUGAGAUACUUCGAAUAAACUUGAGUACAAAUAGGAUACACCGGUGCUAAAACCUUUUCCCAAGAUAUCUUCCAAAAAGUUGGGGUCGUUGCUCCGGAUCUUGUUCUCCCGGUGUGAAACCAGUUGGUUCCGUAGUUUUAGAAUUCUGCUGAUCACAAGUACUCCAUCUCCAUCAUUGCAUAUAGGAAUAUAGAAAGGAAAGAGGAAAAGGCAUGACCAGAAGAAUGGUGUGAAAUAAGUGAAUUUAUCCAGUUGAGGCAUUCUUGAUUGAUUGAGACAAAACGAUUCCCUCAAUACAACUUAACUCCGUCAAGCCUGUACGAGUAGUGAAGAAGUAUAGAGCACUUUGGUUGGUUGUUGACCAACGGAAAGCAUGGGAGAAAAAAAGAUGGACUAAGACAACAAAAAGGUUCACCCCUCACCUAGUCUCUCCCAUUCCGAAAAUAGG
rnacentral:lncRNA from 1 species